GUCAUAUCCCAUUGCAAUACUGGUUCUCAUAUGAUCAGAGAAGCUAAGUAACAUCGAGCCUGGUCAGUAUCUAAAUGGUUGACCACUUGGGAAUACCAGGUGUUGUAAU